rnacentral:rRNA from 1 species
UAAGCAUAUCAAUAAGCGGAGGAAAAGAAACCAACAGGGAUUACCUCAGUAACGGCGAGUGACGCGGUAACAGCUCAAAUUUGAAAUCUGGGUCUUUCAGGCUCCGAGUUGUAAUUUGUAGAAGAUGCUUCGGGUGCGGCUCCGGUCUAAGUUCCUUGGAACAGGACGUCAUAGAGGGUGAGAAUCCCGUAUGUGAUCGGUUGCUUGCGCCCAUGUGAAGCUCUUUCGACGAGUCGAGUUGUUUGGGAAUGCAGCUCCAAAUGGGUGGUAUAUUUCAUCUAAAGCUAAAUAUUGGCCAGAGACCGAUAGCGCACAAGUAGAGUGAUCGAAAGAUGAAAAGCACUUUGGAAAGAGAGUUAAACAGUACGUGAAAUUGUUGAAAGGGAAGCGCUUGCAACCAGACUUGCGUGUCGUCGAUCAUCCGGGGUUCUCCCCGGUGCACUCGGCUUCACUCAGGCCAGCAUCGGUUUCGGUGGUUGGAUAAAGGCCUUGGGAAUGUAGCUCCUCUCGGGGAGUGUUAUAGCCCUCGGUGCAAUGCAGCCUACCGGGACCGAGGACCGCGCUUCGGCUAGGAUGCUGGCGUAAUGGUUGUAAGCGACCCGUCUUGAAACACGGACCAAGGAGUCUAACAUCUAUGCGAGUGUUUGGGUGUCAAACCCAUACGCGUAAUGAAAGUGAACGGAGGUGAGAACCCUUAAGGGUGCAUCAUCGACCGAUCCUGAUGUCUUCGGAUGGAUUUGAGUAAGAGCAUAGCUGUUGGGACCCGAAAGAUGGUGAACUAUGCCUGAAUAGGGUGAAGCCAGAGGAAACUCUGGUGGAGGCUCGCAGCGGUUCUGACGUGCAAAUCGAUCGUCAAAUUUGGGUAUAGGGGCGAAAGACUAAUCGAACCAUCUAGUAGCUGGUUCCUGCCGAA